GUUAUUUUAUCAUAUAUUUUUAACAUGUCUGGAAUACCUAAUCUAAGUGUUUCUGAGUCCACAGAACACAGUAGAUAUUGCAUCACGUCAGGUAAGGACAAAUGUACCCAUUUCCAAUAUGGACACUGCUGCACUUCCUAUUUGAAAGAUCAGUUACACAAGAGCCAGAACUGACGUCAUUACAACGCCCGGAACAGGAAGCGACCACAACCCAGAACUAAUGCAUUCGACAGGCAGGUGAAUCAAUUCAGCAAUCAUCUAAACCACAUAAAUUGUGAAGACUUUUAUGUAGAAACAUGUAAGCUGUAUUUGGUGUAAUUUUUUAUUGCUAUAUUACAAGGAAAUUAUGUGGUAGUGUAUAUUUAUUUGUGCAUUACACAUUGCUUUUUAUUUGUCCAACUUUUAAUUUUCCAAUAAAUUAAUUUUUAAAAUUUCUUCUGCCUGUCUUGCCUGUGGACACCUACCGAAGCCAGUACUGGCACCCUGAGGCUAUUUAUAUAGAGCCUGGCACGGCUCCAUACUUGUGAGUGAAACCAUAUACACACCCAUUGUACAUUGUAUUGUAAUAGAUUACACUAUGUAUGUUUUAUCUAUUUCCUUUUAGAAACCGUAUUCCUGUACUAGUGCACAUUGCCUGAUACUGUUAAGUAUAAGUUAUUAUUUUUAUCCUUCAACUCAGGAUGCUGUGCAUUUUAUAGUGGUUUUACCACUAUGUGCUUUUGUUUAUUUAAAGCUCUGAUUUACUGGCAAAACAUUCCCCACAUUUACUACUUUAAAAAGGCUUCUCUCCGGUGUGAGUUCUCUGAUGUUUAACAAGAUGUGAGUGAGCACUAAAACAUUUUCCACAUUCAGAACAUCAGAAUGGUUUCUUUCCUGUGUGAAUUCUCUGACUGACAAAGGUCUGAAUGUUGAACAAAACAUUUUCCGCAUUCAGAACAAGAGAACAGUUUCUCUCCUGUGUGAGUUCUCUGAUGACGGACAAUCGCUGCUUUGGUGAUGAAACGUUUCCCGCAUUCUGAACAUGAGAAAGAUUUUUCUCCGGAAUGAGUUCUCUUAUGACGGAGAAGUUCUGCUUUAGUAACAAAAUAUUUUUCACAUUCAGAACAUGAGAAUGGUUUCUCUCCUGUGUGAAUUCUGAUGUGUAACAAGAUUUGAAUAUCGCACAAAACAUUUUCCACAUUCAGAACAUAUGAAUGGUUUCUCUCCUGUGUGAGUUCUCUGAUGUGUAACAAGAUUUGAACGGUGUCCAAAACAUUUUCCGCAUUCAGAACAUGAGAACAGUUUCUCUCCUGUGUGAGUUCUCUGAUGACUGACAAGUUCUGAAUGUUGAACAAAACAUUUUCCGCAAUCAGAACAUGAGAAUGGUUUCUCUCCUGUGUGAGUUCUCUGAUGUGUAACAAGAUUUGAAUGGUGUCCAAAACAUUUUCCGCAUUCAGAACAUGAGAAUGGUUUCUCUCCUGUGUGAAUUCUAUGAUGUGUAACUAGAUUUGACUGUCGCCCAAAACAUUUUCCACAUUCAGAACACGAGAAGGGCUUCUCUCCUGUGUGAGUUCUCUGAUGACGGACAAGUUCCGGAUGUCGCCCAAAACAUUUUCCGCAUUCAGAACAUGAGAAUGGUUUCUCUCCUGUGUGAAUUCUCUGAUGUGUAACAAGAUUUGAAUGUCGCCCAAAACAUUUUCCACAUUCAGAACAUGAGAAUGGCUUCUCUCCUGUGUGAGUUCUCUGAUGAUUGACACAUUCUGAAUGUCGCCCAAAACAUUUUCCACAUUCAGAACAUGAGAACAGUUUCUCUCCUGUGUGAGUUCUCUGAUGACUGACAAGGUCUGAAUGUUGAACAAAACAUUUUCCGCAUUCAGAACAUGAGAAUGGUUUCUCUCCUGUGUGAGUUCUCUGAUGUGUAACAAGAUUUGAACGGUAUCCAAAACAUUUUCCGCAUUCAGAACAAGAGAACAGUUUCUCUCCUGUGUGAGUUCUCUGAUGACGGACAAGCUCGGCGUAGGUGAAAAAUGUAUUCCCACAUUCAGAACAUGAGAAUGGCUUCUCUCCUGUGUGAGUUCUCUGAUGACGGACAAUUGCUGCUUUGGUGAUGAAACUUUUACUACAUUCCGAACAUGAGAAAGGUUUCUCUCCUGAAUGAGUUCUCUGAUGACGGAGAAGUUCUCCUUUAGUAACAAAACAUUUUUCACAUUCAGAACAUGAGAAUGGUUUCUCUCCUGUGUGAGUUCUCUGAUGACGGCCAAGCUCCUUGUUGGUGAAAAAACAUUUUUCACAUUCAGAACACGAGAAAGGUUUCUCUCCUGAAUGAGUUCUCUGAUGACGGAGAAGAUCUGCUUUAGUAACAAAACAUUUUUCACAUUCAGAACAUGAGAAGGGUUUCUCUCCUGUGUGAGUUCUCUGAUGUCUAACAAGUUUUGCGUGUUGACUAAAACAUUUUUCACAUUCAGAACAUGAGUACGGCUUCUCUCCUGUGUGAGUUCUCUGAUGACUGACAAACUCUGCAUUGGUGAAAAAACAUUUUCCACAUUCAGAACAUGAGAAGGGUUUCUCUCCUGUGUGAAUUCUCUGAUGUGUAACAAGAUUUGACUGUCGCCCAAAACAUUUUCCACAUUCAGAACAUGAGAAGGGCUUCUCUCCUGUGUGAGUUCUCUGAUGAUUGACACAUUCUGAAUGUCGCCCAAAACAUUUUCCACAUUCAGAACAUGAGAAAGGUUUCUCUCCUGAAUGAGUUCUCUGAUGUAUAACAAGAUUUGAAUGGUGUCCAAAACAUUUUCCACAUUCAGAACAUGAGAAUGGUUUCUCUACUGUGUGACUUCUCUGAUGACGGACAAGCUCUGGGUAGGUGAAAAACUUUCUGCCACAUUCAGAACAUGAGAAUGGCUUCUCUCCUGUGUGAGUUCUCUGAUGACGGACAAUGUGCGCUUUGGUGAUGAAACUUUUCCCACAUUCCAAACAUGAGAAAGGUUUCUGUCUUGAAUGAGUUCUCUGAUGACGAAGAAGUUCUGGUUCAGUAACAAAACAUUUUUCACAUUCAGAACAUGAGAAUGGUUUCUCUCCUGUGUGAGUUCUCUGAUGACUGACAAACUCUGCAGAGGUGACAAAACAUUUUCCACAUUCCGAACAUGAGAAAGUUUUGGGGUUUAAGUUUACUGUAUCCAUUGAGGUAUCUGAGAAAAUGCUUGAUUUAUUAGAGUUGGACUCCGUGCAUAUGUUAUUAAAAGAUUUUUGCAGGUAUUUCUGUUCUUGUUACCUCUCCUGACAAAUACACC